UGCAUUCACUACUGUAAGUCACCUCUGGAUAAGAGCAUCUGCUAAAUGACUAAAA
rfam:Salmo salar isolate Sally breed double haploid chromosome ssa22, whole genome shotgun sequence.